rnacentral:rRNA from 1 species
AGUGAACGCUGGCGGCGUGCCUAAUACAUGCAAGUCGAACGGCGUGGCGCACGGGUGAGUAAUGUAUAGCUAAUCUGCCCUUCACUAUCGGACAACAGUUGGAAACGGCUGCUAAUACUCUAUAGUGUAGGAUGAGGCUAUUUUGUAUCAGCUAGUUGGUGAGGUAAUGGCUCAUCAAGGCUAUGACGCAUAACUGGUCUGAGAGGAUGAUCAGUCACGCUGGAAAUGAGAGGCGGGCCAGACUCCUACGGGAGGCAGCAGUAGGGAAGAUUGCUCAAGGGGGGACACCCUGAGGCAGCAACGCUGCGUGGAGGAUGACACUUUUCUGAGCGUAAACUCCUUUUGUUAGGGAGGCGGUACCUAACGAAUAAGCACCGGCUAACUCCGUGCCAGCAGCCGCGGUAAUAC